rnacentral:rRNA from 1 species
UACGAAGGGGGCUAGCGUUGCUCGGAAUUACUGGGCGUAAAGGGCUCGUAGGCGGCCAACUAAGUCAGACGUGAAAUCCCUCAGCUUAACUGGGGAACUGCGUCUGAUACUGGAUGGCUUGGAUUUGGGAGAGGGAUGCGGAAUUCCAGGUGUAGCGGUGAAAUGCGUAGAUAUCGAGAGGAACACCUGAGGUGAAGACGGGUUGCUGGGCCGACACUGACGCUGAGUGCGCGAAAGCCAGGGGAGCAAACGGG